rnacentral:RNase_MRP_RNA from 1 species
GGGUACCAAAGAGAUUCGCUGUCGGAGUCCUCUCUGGACUCUGAGGGAAGUCCCCAGACACUUUGGUAGAGAGUACCAGCUGUAAGAGACCCUCUAAAGCCUCCCACCUGGUCCAACAGCAAAGAAGCAUCUGGUGCUGAGCUGGGACAGGGGGUGGUGAAUGGUCUUAGUGAAAGGAAUGCGAAUGGCAGUCCAUGCUGCUAUCAGAAUGGGGCUACUCCUUUGAUACC